rnacentral:rRNA from 1 species
AUUGAACGCUGGCGGCAUGCCUUACACAUGCAAGUCGAACGGUAACAGGUCUUCGGAUGCUGACGAGUGGCGAACGGGUGAGUAAUACAUCGGAACGUGCCCGAUCGUGGGGGAUAACGAGGCGAAAGCUUUGCUAAUACCGCAUACGAUCUACGGAUGAAAGCGGGGGAUCUUCGGACCUCGCGCGGACGGAGCGGCCGAUGGCAGAUUAGGUAGUUGGUGGGAUAAAAGCUUACCAAGCCGACGAUCUGUAGCUGGUCUGAGAGGAUGAUCAGCCGCACUGGGACUGAGACACGGCCCAGACUCCUACGGGAGGCAGCAGUGGGGAAUUUUGGACAAUGGGCGAAAGCCUGAUCCAGCCAUGCCGCGUGCAGGAUGAAGGCCUUCGGGUUGUAAACUGCUUUUGUACGGAACGAAAAGCCUCUUUCUAAUAAAGAGGGGUCAUGACGGUACCGUAAGAAUAAGCACCGGCUAACUACGUGCCAGCAGCCGCGGUAAUACGUAGGGUGCAAGCGUUAAUCGGAAUUACUGGGCGUAAAGCGUGCGCAGGCGGUUUUGUAAGACAGAGGUGAAAUCCCCGGGCUCAACCUGGGAACUGCCUUUGUGACUGCAAGGCUGGAGUGCGGCAGAGGGGGAUGGAAUUCCGCGUGUAGCAGUGAAAUGCGUAGAUAUGCGGAGGAACACCGAUGGCGAAGGCAAUCCCCUGGGCCUGCACUGACGCUCAUGCACGAAAGCGUGGGGAGCAAACAGG